rnacentral:rRNA from 1 species
GAUGAACGCUAGCGGCAGGCCUAAUACAUGCAAGUCGAACGGUGUCUUCGGACAUAGUGGCGCACGGGUGCGUAACACGUAUGCAACCUACCUUACAUUGGGGGAUAGCCUUUCGAAAGGGAGAUUAAUACCGCAUAAGACAGUAGCUGGGCAUCCAGCAGCUGUUAAAGAUUUAUCGAUGUAAGCUGGGCAUGCGUCCAAUUAGCUAGUUGGUGAGGUAACGGCUCACCAAGGCAAUGAUUGGUAGGGGAACUGAGAGGUCAAUCCCCCACACUGGCACGGGGAUACGGGCCAGACUCCUACGGGAGGCAGCAGUAGGGAAUAUUGGGCAAUGGACGCAAGUCUGACCCAGCCAUGCCGCGUGCAGGAUGAAGGCGUUAUGCGUUGUAAACUGCUUUUAUACAGGAAGAAACGACUCUUGCGAGAGGCAUUGACGGUACUGUAUGAAUAAGCACCGGCUAACUCCGUGCCAGCCGCCGCAGUAAAAC